UCUCCCUUUCAUGUCAAAUCCUCCAUUCUCAAUUCAAAAUAACCCAGGACUCCAUUAGUUCUUCCAUCUUUUUUUCUCUACUAACAAUGAUAAUCUCUCAUUCUUCCUGAUGUCCACACUACACAAUCGGAAUCCCUAAGUUUAGUCUCCAAGCCUGUGUUUGUACUCUUUAGGCUUCACCGACGAUUGUAGAGGGUUUUGAAGUGAAUGAAGAUGAUUUACUGCGGGUUAUUCACUUUGAAGUACAUAAAAUUUUUGAAAGCACAGAUGGAUGUAAACGCAAUUCGCUUGGAUUAUGUCCCAAUAUGAUGAAAGAAAUUGACUGCAGAGUUGUUGGCAUAGGA